UCCCCCGUUGGAUGUUCCGUUUGAAUUUAAUCGUAGUAACGGUUCGGCAAAAACCGUUGAUUGCUUAGUACACAAUCACUCUACCACACAAAUUUCGAAUGGAAUCACCAACGGGUUUUUUG
rfam:Vibrio cholerae O1 biovar eltor str. N16961 chromosome II, complete sequence.